rnacentral:rRNA from 1 species
AUUGAACGCUGGCGGCAUGCUUUACACAUGCAAGUCGAACGGCAGCACGGGCUUCGGCCUGGUGGCGAGUGGCGAACGGGUGAGUAAUAUAUCGGAACGUACCCAGAAGUGGGGGAUAACGUAGCGAAAGUUACGCUAAUACCGCAUACGAUCUAUGGAUGAAAGCAGGGGACCGCAAGGCCUUGUGCUCCUGGAGCGGCCGAUAUCUGAUUAGCUAGUUGGUGAGGUAAAGGCUCACCAAGGCGGCGAUCAGUAGCUGGUCUGAGAGGACGACCAGCCACACUGGAACUGAGACACGGUCCAGACUCCUACGGGAGGCAGCAGUGGGGAAUUUUGGACAAUGGGCGCAAGCCUGAUCCAGCAAUGCCGCGUGAGUGAAGAAGGCCUUCGGGUUGUAAAGCUCUUUUGUCAGGGAAGAAACGGUAGAGGCUAAUAUCCUUUGCUAAUGACGGUACCUGAAGAAUAAGCACCGGCUAACUACGUG